UACGUAGGUGACCAGCGUUGUCCGGAUUUACUGGGCGUAAAGAGCGCGCAGGCGGUCGUUCAAGUCGAGUGUGAAAGCCCCCGGCUCAACCGGGGAAGGUGGGUGCGAACUGGUCUUCUUGAGGGCGAUAGAGGGGGGCGGAAUUCCUGGUGUAGCGGUGAAAUGCGUAGAGAUCAGGAGGAACACCCGUGGCGAAGGCGGCCCCCUGGGUCGGCCCUGACGCUGAGGCGCGAAAGCGUGGGGAGCGAACGGG
rnacentral:rRNA from 1 species